rnacentral:rRNA from 1 species
UACGGGGGGGGCAAGCGUUGUUCGGAAUUACUGGGCGUAAAGGGCUCGUAGGCGGCCAACUAAGUCGGACGUGAAAUCCCUCGGCUUAACCGGGGAACUGCGUCCGAUACUGGAUGGCUUGAGUUUGGGAGAGGGAUGCGGAAUUCCAGGUGUAGCGGUGAAAUGCGUAGAUAUCUGGAGGAACACCGGUGGCGAAGGCGGUCUGCUGGGCAGUUUCUGACACUGAUGCGCGACAGCGUGGGGAGCAAACAGG